UUCCACUGGUCGACAAAUUUUAAGAAGUUGUCUGCUUAAGAAAUAUAAUGUGCUAUUUAUGAUGGAUUUUGGCAUGCUGAACUCAACUAUGACAAUAAAAAUGAUUGGUUGGCUACUGUUUCUAAGAUAUUUAAGCUUUUACAUUUUAAGUCUACAUAAUUGUAUUGUGUUGAGAGUUUUUAUGAUAAAUCAUACACAUAGGUCUUGUCAUGUUUCUCUGACUGUUCAUAUAAUAUUUCACCUGUUUUUUUGUAACACUUUAAAAAUAAUCAAAAGGUAACCCUUAGUACUUACUCGUUUCUG